ACUGCAGUCGACGCGAAGCUCCCUUCGGGGAGCAAGUAGAGUGGCGCACGGGUGAGUAACACGUAGGUAAUCUACCUUUGGAUGGGGAAUAACAACCGGAAACGGUUGCUAAUACCGCAUAAUGCAGCGGCACCUAAUGGUGACAGUUGUUAAAGCGGGGGAUCGCAAGACCUCGCGUCUGAAGAGGAGCCUGCGGCGGAUUAGCUAGUUGGUAAGGUAACGGCUUACCAAGGCGAUGAUCCGUAGCCGGCCUGAGAGGGCGGUCGGCCACACUGACACUGACAUACGGGUCAGACUCCUACGGGAGGCAGCAGUCGGGAAUUUUGGGCAAUGGGCGAAAGCCUGACCCAGCAACGCCGCGUGAAGGAUGAAAUCCCUCGGGAUGUAAACUUCGCAAGAACGGGAAGAAUAAGUAAGAGUUAAUAUCUCUUACGAUGACGGUACUGUUUGUAAGCUCCGGCUAACUCCGUGCCAGCAGCCGCGGUAAUACGGGGGGAGCAAGCGUUGUUCGGAUUUACUGGGCGUAAAGGGCGCGUAGGCGGCCACCGCAAGUCGACUGUGAAAUCUCCGGGCUUAACCCGGAACGGUCAGCCGAUACUGCGGGGCUAGAGUGCAAAAGGGGCAACUGGAAUUCUCGGUGUAGCGGUGAAUGCGUAAAUUUCGAGAGGAACACCUGCGCGAAAGCGGGUUGCUGGCUGACACUGACCCUGAGGCGCGAAAGCUAGGGGAGCGAAAGGGGAUUUAGAUACCCGGGUAGUCCUACCCUUAACGAUGAAUGCUUGGUGU
rnacentral:rRNA from 1 species